rnacentral:tRNA from 1 species
GGCUCCAUAGUGUAGUGUGGUUAGCAUGUCUGCUUUACAUGCAGAAGGUCCUGAGUUCGCAUCCCAGGUGGAGCCA